CACCUACUCCCUCUGUUCGGAAUUACUUGUCGCAGAAAUGGAUGUAUCUAGACGUAUUUUAGUUCUAGAUACAUCCAUAUCCGAGAUAAGUAAUUCCGAACGGAGGGAGUAUGCA
rnacentral:pre_miRNA from 1 species